rnacentral:tRNA from 1 species
GCCCUGGUGGUGUAGCUCGGCCUAGCAUGAAGCCCUGUCGAGGCUUCGACCCGGGUUCAAAAAGAGUUUUCAUGAUGAGACUCACUGGAUCUCCCGGCCAGGGCG